rnacentral:tRNA from 1 species
GGUCCUGUAGUUCAAUCUGGUAGAACCCUCCUGGGUUCAAAUCCCGGCGGGACCACCA